GCCCCGUCCUAGGUGAGUCUUUCUGAAUAAGGCAGGAGGAGACAGACAGUCUCGUGUCACAGGGGAGGGCCUGGGCAGUGCCUGUCACCCACAGAAGGAACAGGGAGCUGAGGUGAGGCCCCUGCUCUUCUUAGAUCUCUCCUCAGAGGAUUUCUCUCCACACCGAACCCCCUCAUUCUCUACCUCCUGAAGUGCUUUCCUGCCCAGACUAAAGGAGCCUGCAUCUUUGUGCAUCCUCAGGCUAGGGCCAUGAGCAGUAGAGAGGAAGGCUGAAGGGAUGGGGUGCAACGUUCAGGGACCUUCUGGACUCAAACUUGUAAGACCAUGCACACCUUGCUUACUGGUUAACCCGCCCCUGCUGGGAGAGCAUCCAUCCUUUCCCAUUCUCAGGACAUAACAGUGAGCAAGACAGAGCUGGGCCUGGCCUCAUGGAAUCCCAUUCUGGUGGGGAGGACAGAGGUAAACAAGCAGUCACAUGGCCACCACAAGGGUUCUGAGAGCCCACAGCUAGGGCACCUGACCUGGUCUUCGGGUAGAGCAGGUUAGGUAACGGUUUUGAAGGAAGUGACCUUUGAAUGGAAAUGCGAAGGAUGGAUAGGAACAAGCUGUAUAUGGUAGAUUGUAUUUUCCACAGCAAGCUGCACAUACUCUUCUGGAAACUUGCCAUUCUCUAUCAGAGGCAGAGUCUAUUUCUCUUCCUCUGGAACCCGGGUGGGACUUUGUAAUUGCCUCGAUAAAUAGAAUGUAGCGGAUGUGACACUGUGUAACUUAUGAGACUGGGUCAUAAAAUCUGAUAAGGUUUCCACCAGCUCUGCCUCUCUUGGGGACGCUCACUGUUGGAACACAGUCACCAAGCUGUGAGGAAACCCAAACUAGCCUACAUGCAAGACUAAGGAACUGAGGCCCCAGGCCAACAGCCAGCUGCAGCAAUGGCCAGGCGGGUUCACGAAUUCUCCUGUAGAUGAUCCAGUCUUUGAGGUCCCAGACAUCAUGAAGCAGAGACAAGCUGCCCCUGCUCUGCCCUGUCUGAAUUCUUGAUGCAUAGGAUCUAUGAGCCUAAUAAAUGGUUGUUUCAUACCUCUAAGUUUGGGGAUAAUUUGUCACACAGACCUAGUAACUGGGGCGUAACCAGAAAAGAUAACUGGCAAAUGUGUUUGGGGGAGAGCAGGAGAAAGGGGGCGCUGGGAGAGGCUUGGUGUUGGGAAGAACAUCUCAGGCAGAGGGAAGGACAUGGGCAGAGGCCCUGAGGAGGAGCUUGCUGCUGUUGUGUGCUGUCGAGUAGAUUCCAACCUUACAGGACAGAGUAGAACCGCCCCAUAGGGUUUCCUAGGCUGAAAUCUUUAUGGGAGCAGAUCACCAGGUCUUUUCUCCUGCAGAGUGGCUGGUGGGUUCUAAGUGCUGACAUUUAGGUUAGCAGUUGAGCACUUAACCAUUGUGCUACCAGGGCUCCUUGAGAAGAAUCCUAGCACAUUGUAAGCACAGGAAGAAGACCAAAGUGAGGGGGAGCAUGGGCAAGAUGAAGCAGAACUUGAAGCUAGUCUUCAAAAUAUGCUACGCUUAUGCCUAGAGGCACAGAAAGACUCCUAAGUAGUACAGACAUUGAUAGUUUUUUUAAAAAAAAAAUGAGUGUUUUGUUUGUUUACAGCAUGUGCUCUAUGGUAAAUUUAAUGUUUCUUUCUCAAAAUAAUUGUUCCCAUUAUUAUAUUUUAGAACAAAACGGGUUCUGAUUAUUUCAUUUUGGAUUUUAAAAAUUGUGGUGAAAUAUAUGUAACACAAAAUGUGCCACUUUAGCCAUUUUUAAGUGCACAAUUCCAGGCACUGAUAGUUUUAACACAGUUAACUUCUAGAUCCUCAAACCUCAGAGGACUCUUUCCUACAGUUGAUCCGGCUGGGAGUGAACAUCAAGGCCAUUUCCCUCUCUGCCUCCUGUUUCUCAAUUUUCCUCCUACUUCACUAAGGAAAAUCCAUCCCGAAUGUAACUGUGGUGCACCGCCCUUGGUCUUUAUGCCAACUCAAAGUCCUGCUGGCCAGGAAGCCAACUUAAUCAAAGCAUCAUAAACUCUUCUACCCACCUCACUGAGCUGCAUUUCCAACAUUUGAAUGGUCCUUUUAAUAACUAUUUAUCCAAAUUUAUCAUACAUUUAGAUUGUUUGGAAACCCCAGUGGCUUAGUGGUUAAGAACUAUGGCUGCUAACCAAAAGGUUGGCAGUUUGAAUCCACCAGGCGCUCCUUGGAAACUCUAUGGGGCAGUUCUGCUCUCUCUUAUAGGGCCACUAUGAGUCAGAAUUGACUCAACAGCAACGGGUUUUAGAUUGUUUUGAUCGAUUGUGUAAUUCAAUCCAAAAUAAAUUUUUUUUUUUUUUUAACACUUAGGGCCAGGGCGGAUGGACAUCGGGAGCAGCGAGGGCAAUACCCCUGGCCUUUCCUUCCAUAUUUCUGUAAAGUUUGGGUCAACCCAACAGCUUGGCCUGUGCUGUGGGGAGAACAGAUAAUGGACUUGGACCUUAUGAGGUCAGAGUAAGAAAGGUGGGGAAACAGCUUUGCCUGCAUUGCUCCCUCCCCUGAUGCCAGGGUGGGCUUAAGAAGCAUCUUCAAAGGUUUUGAUUGGCAGUCUAGCACUGGCAGUUUGUGCAACAGUGUUAGGAGCCCACGUGGGGAAUCCGUGUGGGAGAAUUCCCCUCACUUUGCUCGGUGGUCUCUGCCUCUCCCCCGGCUCUUUCUUUUCCAUGCACCCCUCUUCUCACUAAGCCUCAGCCACACCAGCUGCUUUCUGCUCAGCAAACAUGUUGGGCUCUCCAUGACCCCCUUCCAGUCACAGGGCCUUUGCACACCCUGUUUUCUCUGCCUGGAAUGCUCUCUACUCUUUGCUUGGCUGACUCCUUUACAUCUUACAUGCCUUGGCUCAAACAUCACUUCUUCAAAAAGGCCUUUCCUGAGUAAACUAGAUUUCUUUUGUUUUCAUUUAUUUCACACUUUGCUCAUUCCCUGGGAGUUCAUGGGUGGUAUAAAUGGUUAAUGAACUCACCUGCUAACUGAAAGUUUGUAGGUUUGAGUCCACUCAGAGAUGCCUCAGAAGAAAGGCCUGGUGAUCUACUUGCAAAAAAUCAGCCAUGGAAAACCCUAAGAAGCACCGUUCUACUCUGACACACACGGGGUCACCAUGAGUCGGAAUCGACACAACGGCAACUUUUUUGUUGUUGUUUUUCCCUGUAGAGCAAAUAUUACAAUUCGUAAUCACAUAGUUGUUUGUUUGUAUUCUUGGCUGAUGUCUGUUUCCCCCACAUAACUGUGAAUUCAGCAGGGCAGAACCAGGUCUGCUGUGUUUUCCAGGAUCCCCAGACACCUAGAACACUGUUGCCACAUAGCUCUUGUUGAAUGAAUGAAUGAACCUGCGCCCCCCACCCCCUCAAAUGUACUAGAGGGAAGGAAGCUCUGAAAGGACAGAACCUGAUCAUUGCAUCACAUGGGAAGAAGAUGACCAUUAAAACAGGGAUCCUCAUACUAACUCCAGGGUCUUUGGUGAAGCACGAACGGGAGGACGCAGAAAUCAAUAUAUUAUGGGCUGCCAAAGAAUGAACAAACCAGUCUUAGAAGAAAUAAACCAAAAAGUUCCUUAGAAGUGAGAAUGGCAAGAGUUCAACUCACUUUGGACAUGUCAUAGGAAAGACCAAUUGCUAGAAAAGGAAGUCAUGUUUGGUAGAGAAGUGGUCCAAAGAAAACAAGGGGAACACUGAAUGAGAUGAUUUGACGCAAUAGCUGCAACAGUGGACGCAAACACACCAACAAUUGUGAGGGUAGUCCAGGACUGGGCAGCGUUUUGGUCUGUUGUACACAAGGUUGCCACGCGUCGGAGCUGACUCAACAGCAAACAACAACAAUCUAGGACAAAAUUCGAGAAAUAUAGGGAUUAUAUAUCCAUAUAAAACUAUGAUCCUUAUGAGUUUCUUCCACAAUAAUUCUAUCAUUGUUGUUUUUGGGAUUCCAUAGUACCACACAUUUAAGAUUAUGUUUUUAAGUCUAAUUGGUUGUAAUAUCUUGAAUACUAACAAUAUACACUAACAUAAGAAUUGUUAGGUAACAGUCACUCUUCUACGUUUUUUGCAGUUAUAAACUCAUUUACAUUUAUAGGUCCUCACAACAAUCCUACCAAGUGGGUGCUAUUCUUAUCUCCCUCUUCCAUGUGAGGAAACUGAGGCACAGAGAAGUUAAACUCAACUAAGGUCACACAGCUUCUAAAUGGCAGAGCUAGAAUUUGAACCUAGGCCAUCUGGCUUCAGAGUCUAUCCUUUUAUCCAUUAUGCUUUCCUGCCUAUUUUGUGGUCCUUUAGAAGCUGUAAGAUUCUAGAGAGUUAGGAUUCUAUCACAUAUGGCCCUGGGAUUCUAUUUCACUCCACUCCUUCACCAUAACUUAUCCCCAUCCCUAUCUUCUACCCUCAGUCUGGGCAUAAGGGCCA